rnacentral:rRNA from 1 species
UACAGAGGGUGCGAGCGUUAAGCGGCACUACUGGGCGUAAAGCGCGCGUAGGUGGUGACGUAAGUCGGGUGUGAAAGCCCCGGGCUCAACCUGGGAAUUGCAUUCGAGACUGCAUUGCUGGAGUACGGAAGAGGAGGGCGGAAUUCCCGGUGUAGCGGUGAAAUGCGUAGAUAUCGGGAGGAACAGCAGUGGCGAAGGCGGCCCUCUGGUCCAGUACUGACGCUCAAGUGCGAAAGCGUGGGGAGCAAACAGG